UUCUAAUUAUAAAAAUUAAAUUAGAUUUAUAUAUAUGCGUUUAUAAAAUUCAAUAAUUUCCUGUUUACAUCAAUUAAAUGAGUUAAUUUUUAAAAAAAAAGAUUUCUCUAGGAUUAAAUCUAAUGCGAUUUUUAAUCCGGAUCUAAAAGAAUCUAAUUAUAAUUAAUUUUUAUGAAAUUAAGAAGUCAACGCUUCUAAAAGUGGGCUUUUUCUGUUAUUUUAUCGUAAUAGUGUCAAUGGUUUUAUAUACAGUUGGUUAGAAUAUUUAUCAAUUAAACGGUAGCAUCAAUAAUAUAAAAAGCUAAUGCAUCAUGGCGAUUGAUUGAUGGACCUGGCUGGCUAUCAAUGUGCAUCGCCAGUUAUAACAGUAAGUCUAAUAAACGAGCUUUCAUCCAAUUAAGUAAAUUUUCCUGAAUGUUAGUAAAGAAUUUGGUAAUAGUCUGAAAGAUUGGAUGGCAAUAGCCUACUUUCGAUUUAAUUAAAAUAACGAAUUUUUACCGAACUCUAAAUUAUAACCAUUAAAUUUUUUAACGCAUUGAAUUAAUUUAUUUUAUCGAAUCUAGAUCGAAAUUGGUUUACAAUCCACUUUACCUUAAUCACGGAAUUUUAUUGCAUUUAAGCAGUAGCCUUUAUAAAAGUUUUAUAAUUUAUUCCUUUCUUAUGGGGAUAAGUAUUGUUAUUUUACAUGUAACAAUACUUUAAGCCCACUUAAAAUUAAUUGUGAGGAGCUAACUGCUGCAUGAAUAAUGAAAGAGAACGAGGAUUUUAGCAUAUUCAUCUAGGGAGACUAUAACCAUCAAAAUUUCUACUGCAGAAUAGUCUAAGGUAAGUCUCAAAGUCGAAAAAUCAUUAAUUUGUAACAUAGAUAUAACCAAUUAAAUUAAUCUUCAUCUUUCAAUAUUAGAUUGAAGAUGGUUAUCGAUACAGAAUAAGUUUCAAGUUUAUAUUUAAAAGUGGAUCAACCUGCAAGAUCUAAUGAAUUUAUCACAAACCAUUCAAAAUAAAUACUUUGUUCGAAAUUUUUCACUUUAUUUAUUUAAAUAUGAUCAAUAACUAAUUUAUCUUCUAGCAUCACGAUAUAGUUUACUAUAUUGAUGAUCAGAACAACGAGGAAAGUUUAUAAUUAAUUCAUAAAUUUAAACAUUUAUAAAUUUAUUUCAAAUUAUAAAAACGCUGAUUUACUAUUGUAAAAAAAAAGAACAAAAGGAGCCAGAGAAACAAGAGAAAAAAAGAAGAGAGAGAGAGAAAAGAGUUAGCGUAAGGAAUAAAAGGACAGUUUGGGGAACAGAAAACCAUUUGCCUAGAAUAGCGUAUAAAUCUCGUUAGAUGGACCCGGAAGUCUGCGGACUAAAUCGAGUUUGGGAGAAGCGAGGGGAUGAUUGUUGCGAUUAGGGUCCAAGUUGUGGCUCAACACGUCAGCAGUAAUUAACGGUAAUUUGAACAUCCAGUGUCAGUGCCAAUCGGGACUUUAAUCUUUCUCCCAGUCACGGCUUCGAGCACAGAUUGGACGACGAAGAUUCUCCUUCCAAGUCGUUUCGAGAUCAAUAUAAAGCUUUUCCUUUUAUCUACUCUCAAUUCUGUGAUUCUGUUCAACGAAUUCCCGAUUGGUCCGACGGUUAAUUACAGAAUUGUCUGUUUGAUUAACGUUUAUGAAGUGGCUGAAGAAUUUUGGCUCUUGUUUACUCAUUUUUCUAUCAACUGUUUCGUUUUAAUAAGAGAAAAUUGUUUCCAGCAAUAAAAAUAUGCGUUUUCAAAUAAUUACGAACAAAAAAGAAACGUCAGUCAGUCGAGUUAUUAGAUCCAAGUUGGAAGAAACAGAAGUAAACCUUAUAAAGUUUAAUGGAAUUUCUUUUAAUCUUCAUUAUCAUUUAAUAGACGGAAGAAAAGAGGUAUUCGGAGUUCGUUAGAUAGAAAUUAGAUCCUGUGGAGGAGAAUCUUGUUUGUUAAAAGCUUUGAUGAUUUGAAACAAAAUGAUUUUCCUCAUGUUUAACAAUUUAUUUUGCCUAAAUUGCAAUACUUGAUCACCUCAUUAUAUCCGAGAUUUUUCAAAUUUUUUAAUUGAGUCGAAUUGCGAGCGAACUUAAAUAAUUUUUUUUAUCUAAACGAUCUCGACAAAUUAAUAAUCUUUCGACAGGACAACGGCGAAGACGACAAGCAAACGUAUCGUUUUAACGAUUUCCAAUUGAUCAUGGCCAUGGCUAAUUUGCAGUUCGAAUCACGGACGUUAGGUGUCGCUGUCCGUCAUACCCUAGAUUAGCUUUGUCGCUGACUAACGAUCCUAACUUCCCAUGUCUACGUGAGGUGGCGCUGUCCGUCCCUAAUUUGUAGCUGGAGUCCCUCAUUAGUCGGUUCCGAAGGCGGGUAAGGCGAAUGGCACACGCCACCCCGGCACGUUUCCACGACCUACAAGACUUUAACAAAACUAAUCGGGCACCGACUGGUCCCUUUUCACGUCCACGACGCACGUCCAAAAUUUGCACGGCUUCGUUAAUGCAACAGCCAUGUUAAAACGUGUCGGAUCGUGCCACAAUGACCAUUGGUUCGUUAGGCAAUUCGCCAGAAGUGUCAAGCUCUAUUGUCAACAUGCCACUUUCGAAAAAGGAAAAUGUUACUUAAAUUUUUACACUUUAAUUAUCUUACUUGUAAGUUUAUCAUUAUCUAAUGUCUGUUGCAGUACCAAAAACAAUACUAAAGAAAUUUUGUUCUGAGUCUACAACAAUACGAAUGUAACUUGUAGAAAAUGUCUACUAAUAUAAGGAUAUAUAAUAGCAAAAUGACGAUUUUGUAUAUCUAAAUGUGCUGAUUAUUAAAUGGAAAUAUUUUAAUAAUGCCACAAUCAAAAUAAAAA
rnacentral:lncRNA from 1 species